ACGGAGGAGGCAAGCGUUGUUCGGAAUCACUGGGCUUAAAGCGCGUGUAGGCGGGGUGUAGGGUGUUUAGUGAAAGCCCUCGGCUCAACCGAGGAAUGGCUGGGCAAACCGACACUCUUGAGGCAGGCAGAGGUAACCGGAACCUUUGGUGGAGCGGUGAAAUGCGUAGAGAUCAAAGGGAACGCCGGUGGCGAAAGCGGGUUACUGGGCCUGAACUGACGCUGAGACGCGAAAGCGUGGGUAGCAAACAG
rnacentral:rRNA from 1 species